GCGCACGUGGCGGAAUUGGUAGACGCGCCAGCUUGAGGGGCUGGUGGACAUUAGUCCGUGGAAGUUCGAGUCUUCUCGUGCGCACAA
rnacentral:tRNA from 1 species